rnacentral:rRNA from 1 species
UACGUAGGCAGCAAGCGUUGUUCGGAGUUACUGGGCGUAAAGGGUGUGUAGGCGGUUGUUUAAGUUUGGUGUGAAAUCUCCCGGCUCAACUGGGAGGGUGCGCCGAAUACUGAAUGACUAGAGUGCGGGAGAGGAAAGUGGAAUUCCUGGUGUAGCGGUGAAAUGCGUAGAUAUCAGGAGGAACACCGGUGGUGUAGACGGCUUUCUGGACCGUAACUGACGCUGGAGAACACGAAAGCCGUGGGUAGCAAACAGG